rnacentral:lncRNA from 1 species
AAUUGGUGCAAUCUAGUUAAUUUGGGGCAUUGUCAUUCAUGGUUUGUUGAAAGAGUAAUUGGAAAUCGAGUCGUAUGCAUAUGUUUCAUGUGUGGAGAAGGAACCCUCUAGCUAGCCUUUCCCCAUUCUAUUUCAUCAAAAUCGUUUUUGUCAAGUAGUUUACAAAGUUUUGUUUUGUUUUGAAAUUCGUCCAAAAUCAAUCCCCCUUUACUUGGUUGAGUCAUAGUAGUUAGAAAUCAUUUUAGUUUGUGUUUUUAAGUGUCUUAGGUCAAGUGAAAACCAGUUUUCGUCCAAGUUUGUGUCUAGUGUUCAAAACUGCCCAGAUUGUCGUUUUAAGGCAAUUUUGAGUGUUUCUGGGCUGUUUUGAGUCUUUUGGUUUGUUUUGGUGUUUUAAAGUUUAGUUUUGCAUUCUUUGAGUCUAGUUUAGUGUUUUAAACUUGUUUUACGUAUUUGAGUAAGUUUUCAAGUGAUUUCGCAAUCCCUCCUAAUCCCCGGUUUAGAACGAUCCCUACUUACAUACUUUGCUAGAAUUGAUAAAAAGAGGGUUAAUUUGUGUGUCAACAUAAUUUUCACAUCAAUUCGCAGAAAAAUCAUUAGUAGAAACUAAACUUGACACGUUUUUACCUUUAUUGGAUGAAUUGGACGAAUUGUGAUCACUUGUAGCUUGCGGCAAUGUUGGUUCCACCCUUGGCCGUGAGUGGCCUUUGCUCCUCCUCUUCAAUUCUCAACUCUUCCUCCUCGUUGGAACGUGACUUGGAUGGUUUGAGGUCAGAUCCGACUUGCUUUCCACUUCGCAAAUGCAUAGCUUUUGCAGAUUCGAAUCCACCUUUCGGAUUGACCACCGUUGAGCUAGGCAACCUUCCUUGCUCACGAAAUUGCCCCAUGAACUCGGCAAUUUGUCC